rnacentral:rRNA from 1 species
AUUGAACGCUGGCGGCAGGCCUAACACAUGCAAGUCGAGCGGGGUUUUCGGACCUAGCGGCGGACGGGUGAGUAAUGCGUAGGAAGCUACCCGAUAGAGGGGGAUACCAGUUGGAAACGACUGUUAAUACCCGCAUAAUGUCUACGGACCAAAGUGUGGGACCUUCGGGCCACAUGCUAUCGGAUGCGCCUACGUGGGAUUAGCUAGUUGGUGAGGUAAUGGCUCACCAAGGCGACGAUCUCUAGCUGGUUUGAGAGGAUGAUCAGCCACACUGGAACUGAGACACGGUCCAGACUCCUACGGGAGGCAGCAGUGGGGAAUUUUGGACAAUGGACGCAAGUCUGAUCCAGCCAUUCCGCGUGCAGGAUGAAGGCCU